AGAGUUUGAUCCUGGCUCAGGACGAACGCUGGCGGCACGCUUAACACAUGCAAGUCGAACGAGAGAAGAGGAGCUUGCUUUUCUGAUCUAGUGGCGGACGGGUGAGUAACACGUGAGCAAUCUGCCUUUCAGAGGGGGAUACCGAUUGGAAACGAUCGUUAAUACCGCAUAACAUAAUUGAACCGCAUGAUUUGAUUAUCAAAGAUUUAUCGCUGAAAGAUGAGCUCGCGUCUGAUUAGCUAGUUGGUAAGGUAACGGCUUACCAAGGCGACGAUCAGUAGCCGGACUGAGAGGUUGAUCGGCCACAUUGGGACUGAGACACGGCCCAGACUCCUACGGGAGGCAGCAGUGGGGAAUAUUGCACAAUGGAGGAAACUCUGAUGCAGCGAUGCCGCGUGAGGGAAGAAGGUUUUAGGAUUGUAAACCUCUGUCUUCAGGGACGAAAAAAGACGGUACCUGAGGAGGAAGCUCCGGCUAACUACGUGCCAGCAGCCGCGGUAAUACGUAGGGAGCGAGCGUUGUCCGGAAUUACUGGGUGUAAAGGGAGCGUAGGCGGGAUCGCAAGUCAGAUGUGAAAACUAUGGGCUUAACCCAUAAACUGCAUUUGAAACUGUGGUUCUUGAGUGAAGUAGAGGUAAGCGGAAUUCCUAGUGUAGCGGUGAAAUGCGUAGAUAUUAGGAGGAACAUCAGUGGCGAAGGCGGCUUACUGGGCUUUAACUGACGCUGAGGCUCGAAAGCGUGGGGAGCAAACAGGAUUAGAUACCCUGGUAGUCCACGCCGUAAACGAUGAUUACUAGGUGUGGGGGGACUGACCCCUUCCGUGCCGCAGCAAACGCAAUAAGUAAUCCACCUGGGGAGUACGACCGCAAGGUUGAAACUCAAAGGAAUUGACGGGGGCCCGCACAAGCAGUGGAGUAUGUGGAUUAAUUCGAAGCAACGCGAAGAACCUUACCAGGUCUUGACAUCGUAUGCAUAGCUCAGAGAUGAGUGAAAUCUCUUCGGAGACAUAUAGACAGGUGGUGCAUGGUUGUCGUCAGCUCGUGUCGUGAGAUGUUGGGUUAAGUCCCGCAACGAGCGCAACCCUUACUGUUAGUUGCUACGCAAGAGCACUCUAGCAGGACUGCCGUUGACAAAACGGAGGAAGGUGGGGAUGACGUCAAAUCAUCAUGCCCCUUAUGACCUGGGCCUCACACGUACUACAAUGGCUGUCAACAGAGGGAAGCAAAGCCGCGAGGUGGAGCGAACCCCUAAAAGCAGUCUUAGUUCGGAUUGUAGGCUGCAACCCGCCUACAUGAAGUCGGAAUUGCUAGUAAUCGCAGAUCAGCAUGCUGCGGUGAAUACGUUCCCGGGCCUUGUACACACCGCCCGUCACGCCAUGGGAGUCGAUAACACCCGAAGCCUGUAGUCUAACCGCAAGGAGGACGCAGUCGAAGGUGGGAUUGAUGACUGGGGUGAAGUCGUAACAAGGUA
rnacentral:rRNA from 1 species